ACUAGUCCCAGCAGCUCCUUCUCCACCCCCCCCUCUCUGAAGCGCGAAGAGGUCACUAAGGGUAACAAAAAAUUGUAUCCCAGAGCAACUAGUAAGGCUUCAGUCCCGUCUCCUGUGAAUUGGUUGCUAUGGGAUACGGCUCUUUACUAGUAGCCACCCCCAGAACUGGCGCACGCGUUGGUCAUUGUAGGGUUGGACCCCCACCCCCUCGCUUCUGUUAGCACGGCGCCAUUAUUAAUAGCAGGUAACCCAUUUCACUCGAUAAACCACAUAGUAUUAGUCCGCCCACACACGCUUCCCGUUGUUCUUACGGUAAAGUAACAUUUAGGGUCACUUCCACAUCGUUUACAUGAACAAAAACGGCAGCGUGUUUGGCUCUUUUCCAAAAGCUAGGUAAGCAGCGCCACAACAAAGAUGGCGCCUCGCGGGCUUUGCCAGCACAUUCCAUCGAAUAUCUCCGCACCAGUUGGGUAAAACCGCCGCGGCUCCCCUCUACCCCAUGUAGCGCUUCCAGGAAAGCAACAUGCCGCGAAGAAACGAAAACGAGCGCCUUCCGUUUCGCCGAAACGUCGACGAACGUUGGUUCAACGCGACGACGUUUGUGCCACACACAACAUGGCGCCCCGACUCGGUCAGGGCAUUGACGUCAAGAGAGUCAGCUCUGGGAUUGGCCAUUUGGAAUUUUGUCGUUAGUAGCCGCACCCCUCAUGCUGCCGAUUGGUGCGUUUGUUAGAACGAACACAGAAUUGACGCUUUGCGGAUUUUCAUUGGCUGGUGGAAAUGCCCGUCUUAUGUCAUGCCUUCUGCUAGACAAACACAAAACCCGGAUUACGGUUGGCACUCUAGGAUUGCCUGAAUGCAUGUUUAUGUGAAGGGAAGAGGAAUUGCUGUCAGAAGCUUCUGGUGCUGACUUAUCUCACAGGAAAAUAAUAGUGAAACACAAAAGCUUUCAAAUGUGUCUGGAUGCUAUUUCCCCUGAGAUUAGUUGGCUGGAGAUAUCUACUGGUCCUCAUACACAUGAGAUCAUUACCCAACCCAGCUGGAUUAGGCAGCAAUAAUGAUAUGUCUAUGGCUGGAUUUACACCAGGCAUACACUUAUGCAGCACAUUCAUCAGCCGUCAGAUCUCUGCUGUUACAUGAAGCUCCAUGUACACACAUUUAUGCUGUCCCCAACACAGGAGACUCUAGAUCUAUUUUUGGUGCUCCCAGCAAUCAGAAUUUUAUGACUGUAUAAAUACCGUGGUCCUAAUGUAAAGAGUAUAAAUGUCUGGAUUCUGCAAUGAGACUAUAUACACUGUGCAGUAAAUGCUUCAGUGCAUGUAUGUAGAUUAAAGCCCAAUGGACACAAUUACUGUUUGUCUUUUGUCUGUUUUGUAUUUUAUUUUUUAAUCACUCAGCCAUUGACUUGUGUAAUCUCCAACUGUUACUGGUUUUAGAAGAGUUAAAAAAGCAAUUGAAAAACAUGAGAUAUGUUGAAACAAUGGAUAAAAAGCGCGUGAACAGGCUAUGCACUUUAAAUGACAGAUGGUUAUUAGACAAAAUUCUGAUGUAAACCUAUGCACCUAUAUUCAUGCACGUGUGUCCUACAGAUGUAUAGUAUACUUAUGUAGCACUACCCCCGUAGGAGCUGCUGGUUUAGAUUUGGGCCUUGCACGUUACCUCAACAUUUGUCGUCU